CUAGCUGGGAGGUGUACUGUACUCUACUGACUGUAGCUGGGAGGUGUACUGUAGCUGGGAGGUGUACUGUACUCUACUGACUAGCUGGGAGGUGUACUGUACUCUACUGACUGUAGCUGGGAGGUGUACUGUAGCUGGGAGGUGUACUGUACUCUACUGACUAGCUGGGAGGUGUAGUAGCUGGGAGGUGUACUGUACUCUACUGAC